AUUCAUCAUGUAUGACCCAGUAACAUUUCUCAGCGGUUGGAUUCAAUAUGAGAAAUAAGCAAAUAAUCGCACUGCUUCUUCCAUUUCAAAGUCAUGUCUCUUAUAAAAAGUGGCCAAGAAAAAUGCCUGUUGCCUUACAUACUGGUACGUGAAGGUGAAACUCAGGAGCUGCUUGCAGUCAUGUGGACACACGCCUGACCUCAGCUCUGAUCUGAAGCACGUCCUUCUGUCUCACUGCUUGCCAAGACUAAGCUAAACUUCAGAAGUAAAAAUACUCCCCAAAAUGUUGUACAUUUUCAACUAUUCACAUUGUACCUUAAGUUUCUCUUGUAUUGGAGGAAAAACGCGGUGUCAUUUAAAGUGAUAUGUAUCUUCAACGUGGGAUGUAAGGUGAUUCAGGUCCUUUGAGAAGACAAGCUUGCAACAAUGACAUGAAUAAUGUUGGAAUCAAAAUCACAGAAUCUAAACACCAAAUAGCGUAGGUUCAUUCCGUGUCUCUAACAAGUAUCUGGAUAACUAAACUUUCUGCUUCACUUGGGUGUGAAGAUCAUGAAAUGUAGUUUAUAAUUAUUUGGGCAGAGAAAAUAGAGAAUUGGGGUAGUUACGUAAAAUUCAAGAUUAAAGAAGAGCAGUAUUAUAUAGCAGAAAUAUAAAUUGGCUAUUACCUUCAGUAACUUAGAUUAGGGGUUGGCAGGUCUGUGCACCAAAUCUGGUCCGUUGUUCUUGUAAAUAAAGUUUUCUGGGUACACAGCCAUAUGCACUUGCUAUCACCCAUGGCUGAGGGCAGAGUUGAAUGGUUGUGAGAGACCUUGUGGCCCGAAGGAACUACAAUACUAGCUGGCACCUUGCACGCAAAGUUUAUGACCUGAUUCGGGUAACUGCCUAAACUGUCCAAUUCGCUUGUUCUAAAGCAAUCCAACAAUAUAACACACUUGUCUGAAGAUUUGAGAACACGCAUGCACCAGCCUAAUCAGAAGAAAAGUCCAAUUCCACCCAGAGGGUUACACACUCUUCCCUUUUCCCUAUAAAGAAUUAAAUGAAUAAAACUGUGUGAGAUUUUACUGGUA